GUGCCAGCAGCCGCGGUAAUACGUAGGGGGCGAGCGUUGUCCGGAAUGACUGGGCGUAAAGGGCGCGUAGGUGGCCUUACAAGUCUGGAGUGAAAGUCCCGUUUUUAAGGUGGGAAUGGCUUUGGAAACUGUGAGGCUUGAGUGUGGGAGAGGAUAGCGGAAUUCCCGGUGUAGCGGUGAAAUGCGUAGAGAUCGGGAGGAACACCAGUGGCGAAGGCGGCUAUCUGGACCAAGACUGACACUGAAGCGC
rnacentral:rRNA from 1 species